CCUACGGGGGUAGCAGUGGGGAAGAGUGCACAAGGGGGGAAACCCGGAGGCAGUGACGGCGCGUGAGGGAAGAAGUAAUUAGUUAUGUAAAGCUCUAACAGCAGGGAAGAAAAUGACGGUACCUGAGUAAGAAGCACCGGCUAACGACGUGACAGCAGCCGCGGUAAUACGUAGGGGGCAAGCGUUAUCCGGAUUUACAGGGUGUAAAGGGAGCGUAGAAGGCAGUGCAAGUCUGGAGUGAAAGGCGGGGGCUCAACCCCCGGACUGCUCUGGAAACUGUACGGCUGGAGUGCAGGAGAGGUAAGUGGAAGUCCUAGUGUAGCGGUGAAAUGCGUAGAUAUUAGGAGGAACACCAGUGGCGAAGGCGGCUUACUGGACUGUAACUGACGUUGAGGCUCGAAAGCGUGGGGAGCAAACAGGAUUAGAUACCCGAGUAGUC
rnacentral:rRNA from 1 species